CUGCCCUGGGGGCACCUGGGAUGCUUGGCGUGGCCACUUCCAGCAUCCUCCACAAACCUGCCUGCAACUCCCCCAUACAUGCAGCCUCUUCCGAGACAGAGGAAUGGUCAGGGUCCCCUGGUGCCUGCCUCCCCCUUCAUUUGGGUCUCUUCUUCAGGGCCAGCUCCACAGAGAAUCCGUCCCUCAUACCUCAUCACUCCCUCCCCAUUCUCUGGCCCUGAUUUAGUUUUCUUCCUAACACUCUUUCUGACAGACACACUGUUACCUGUUAACUCAUUUCCUUCUGUUUGUCCCCUCUAACAUGCUUGCUGUAUGGAUGGAGGGGCCUUAUUCUCCUGGUUCCUGGGGACAGACCAGUGUUCACAGACCCCAGACCAGGGACUGUUGUACAGCAGGCCUGCCAUAUUUGUUCAAUGAACGAAUGAUUCCC
rnacentral:lncRNA from 10 species